UGGAGGAAAAAAGGUUAAAUCCGUCCAUUGUGCAAAGGGUUGUGAAAGUGGAGAGAGAGAGAUUUUCAAUGGCAUAAAUUGGGACUGGACAGCCAUUCUCUGCGUCUUGGAAUAUCUGUCAUUAACAGCUAAACAGGAAAGGUGAGGAAGAAGACUUUUACACAAGCAUCUGUGACACUUCACCCCGUACUUUGUCCUGAGAUUCGUGUUGGAUAUUGGAAAGUGUUUCACAGCCUGCAGUAUGUAACAGUAUAUGGAAGAGCUGUUCUGUGGAUUCUUCUUGAUUAGACAUCCAGGAUGGCUGCCGGUGACUGCAAGGAACUACAUGCAGUGAUCUAUAUGCUCCAUUUCAGUGCUUAUUUCUAUAAAGAUAAUACAGAUAUCUUGCCAAGCAAUUCUUUGUUAGUAGAUAUCAGCUAA
rnacentral:lncRNA from 1 species